rnacentral:lncRNA from 1 species
GCCAUAUUAUUUCUUCUUUCGAGAGUUUAUGCGGAGUGAUGACGGUGUUGCUUUUGGAUUCUCCUGCUAUUCUCCUUUAGCUCUUGAAGUCGUUAUGACUUUAAAGUUAGCCAUGACUAACUCCAACCCUUUCCUUUGAUCUUCAGUUAUUAAGAAUUCUAACAACAACAAAUAUUCAUCAAACAAAAUUGGAGUUUGUUAAAAGAACUG